UACGAAGGGGGCUAGCGUUGCUCGGAAUCACUGGGCGUAAAGCGCACGUAGGCGGAUUGUUAAGUCAGGGGUGAAAUCCUGGAGCUCAACUCCAGAACUGCCUUUGAUACUGGCGAUCUCGAGUCCGGGAGAGGUGAGUGGAACUGCGAGUGUAGAGGUGAAAUUCGUAGAUAUUCGCAAGAACACCAGUGGCGAAGGCGGCUCACUGGCCCGGUACUGACGCUGAGGUGCGAAAGCGUGGGGAGCAAACAGGGAUUAAGAA
rnacentral:rRNA from 1 species